UUGCAAGCUGGAAGAGCAGAUGGAGUAAUUUAAUUCCUUUAAACUAUUGGAUUGGUGACAGGUAUUAUGUAGUGUCAGAGCAGAAAGUUCCAUCUGCUGUGCACAUUGGCUAUUACAAUGAUACUUAGCAUGGUAAAAUGAUGUCAAAACAGAUGCAAUAGCCAAGGCAUGAAAUUAAGGAUACAGAGAUCUUGAUCUUUAUGGACAUAUUUGCAAUUCAAAUUUGAAUUGAGAAAAGCCAACUCUGUCAAGAUCUAUAAAUUCAUCUUUUAAGGAGUAGACAAGUUCUGAGAGACCUGGAUUUGAACUUAGAAAUUCAAGAAAUUUCAGAUAUGGGAGUUACAACAAAAUGA